rnacentral:rRNA from 1 species
UACGAAGGGGGCUAGCGUUGCUCGGAAUUACUGGGCGUAAAGGGCGCGUAGGCGGAUAUUUAAGUUGGGGGUGAAAUCCCGGGGCUCAACCUCGGAAUUGCCUUCAAAACUGGAUAUCUUGAGUUCGGGAGAGGUGAGUGGAACUCCGAGUGUAGAGGUGAAAUUCGUAGAUAUUGGGAAGAACACCGGUGGCGAAGGCGGCGCUCUGGACCGAGACUGACGCUGAGGCGCGAAAGCGUGGGGAGCAAACAGG